rnacentral:rRNA from 1 species
GUAGGUGGCAAGCGUUGUCCGGAAUUAUUGGGCGUAAAGCGCGCGCAGGCGGUUCUUUAAGUCUGAUGUGAAAGCCCACGGCUCAACCGUGGAGGGUCCUUGGAAACUGGAGAACUUGAGUACAGAAGAGGAAAGCGGAAUUCCACGUGUAGCGGUGAAAUGCGUAGAGAUGUGGAGGAACACCAGUGGCGAAGGCGGCUUUCUGGUCUGUAACUGACGCUGAGGCGCGAAAGCGUGGGGAGCAAACAGGGAUUAGAUACCCUGGUAGUCCACGCCGUAACGAUGAGUGCUAAGUGUUAGGGGGGUUUCCCGCCCCCUUAGUGCUGCAGCUAACGCAUUAAGCACUCCGCCUGGGGAGUACGGCCCGCAAGGCUG